GGAAGGGCCAUAGCUCAGUGGUAAAGCAUUCGCUUUGCAUGGAGAAUGUCCUGGGUUCAAUCCCAGCUCUGCCG